rnacentral:rRNA from 1 species
GACGGACGCUGGCGGCGUGCCUAAUACAUGCAAGUUGAGCGCUGAAGGUUGGUACUUGUACCAACUGGAUGAGCAGCGAACGGGUGAGUAACGCGUGGGGAAUCUGCCUUUGAGCGGGGGACAACAUUUGGAAACGAAUGCUAAUACCGCAUAAAAACUUUAAACACAAGUUUUAAGUUUGAAAGAUGCAAUUGCAUCACUCAAAGAUGAUCCCGCGUUGUAUUAGCUAGUUGGUGAGGUAAAGGCUCACCAAGGCGAUGAUACAUAGCCGACCUGAGAGGGUGAUCGGCCACAUUGGGACUGAGACACGGCCCAAACUCCUACGGGAGGCAGCAGUAGGGAAUCUUCGGAAAUGGACGAAAGUCUGACCGAGCAACGCCGCGUGAGUGAAGAAGGUUUUCGGAUCGUAAAACUCUGUUGGUAGAGAAGAACGUUGGUGAGAGUGGAAAGCUCAUCAAGUGACGGUAACUACCCAGAAAGGGACGGCUAACUACGUG